rnacentral:lncRNA from 1 species
CGGCCCCCGCCCCCCGGCCCGCACCGGCUCUUUCUCACCGGCCGGGGACCCGGAGCUGGCCCGGGAUAGACAGUUCACUUCUAUGUUGCCUCCUCUUCAGUUUAUCAACGUGCGAAUGAGUGAAUCCAACAGGUCCUCGGAGCUGCUGGUCUCCCGCCUCUCCGUGGUGUCCCUGGUCACCUCCCUAUCGCCAGGUGUGCGCCCUCUCCCCGCCUGCGACCUUCCCAGAAGGUGGAUGGGUCGCUGCUGUGCUUCAAGGCCUGCCAGCCUGCGGAGAAUCUGGGGACCUGUGACCUAGUCCCUCCUCCACCCCCGGGCCAGCGGCCUCCCGCUCCUCCUCGGUGUCCAGAAUUACAGCUGGAAGAUUUGACAGCAGCGGCUUGAGAACCCUAC